AUGGCUCGCACGAAGCAGACGGCCCGCAAGUCGACCGGCGGCAAGGCCCCGCGCAAGCAGCUGGCCACCAAGGCGGCCCGCAAGAGCGCGCCGGCCACCGGCGGCGUCAAGAAGCCGCACCGCUACCGGCCCGGCACGGUGGCCCUGCGCGAGAUCCGGCGCUACCAGAAGUCCACCGAGCUGCUGAUCCGCAAGCUGCCGUUCCAGCGGCUGGUGCGCGAGAUCGCGCAGGACUUCAAGACCGACCUGCGCUUCCAGAGCUCGGCCGUCAUGGCCCUGCAGGAGGCGUGCGAGGCCUACCUGGUGGGGCUCUUCGAGGACACCAACCUGUGCGCCAUCCACGCCAAGCGCGUCACCAUCAUGCCCAAGGACAUCCAGCUGGCGCGCCGCAUCCGCGGGGAGAGGGCGUAAGCUUCCUAGCGUUACUCCGUGUACGCUACCCCCAAAGGCUCUUUUCAGAGCCCCUCCAUUGUCCUCAAAGAGAGCUGUUAA